GACGAACGCUGGCGGCGUGCUUAACACAUGCAAGUCGAACGGAAAGGCCCUGCUUUUGUGGGGUGCUCGAGUGGCGAACGGGUGAGUAACACGUGAGUAACCUGCCCUUGACUUUGGGAUAACUUCAGGAAACUGGGGCUAAUACCGGAUAGGAGCUCCUGCUGCAUGGUGGGGGUUGGAAAGUUUCGGCGGUUGGGGAUGGACUCGCGGCUUAUCAGCUUGUUGGUGGGGUAGUGGCUUACCAAGGCUUUGACGGGUAGCCGGCAUGAGAGGGUGACCGGCGACAUUGGGACUGAGAGACGGAGCAGACUCCUACGGGAGGCAGCAGUGGAGAGUAUUGCACAGUGGGCGGAAGCGUGAUGCAGCAACGCCGCGUGCGGGAUGACGGCCUUCGGGGUGUAAACCGCUUUCGCCUGUGACGAAGCGUUAGUGACGGUAAUGGGUAAAGAAGCACCGGCUAACUACGUG
rnacentral:rRNA from 1 species